GUUUCUAUCUAUGAGGUGCUUUCUUCCAGUACGAAAGGACCGAAGAAAAAAGGCCUAUGCCCCAAUUAAGCCUUCCCCACCCUCUAUGAGCCCCACUCAAUAGGGAAAAGGGCACAUCUUUAAGCCGAAGACCCCUGCAA
rnacentral:rRNA from 1 species